AAAGCUCUUUUGGCGGGGACGAUGAUGACGGUACCCGCAGAAUAAGCCCCGGCUAACUUCGUGCCAGCAGCCGCGGUAAGACGAAGGGGGCUAGCGUUGUUCGGAAUUACUGGGCGUAAAGCGAGUGUAGGUGGUUGUUCAAGUUGGAUGUGAAAGCCUUGAGCUCAACUCAAGAAAUGCAUUCAGGACUGAGCGACUAGAGGACCGGAGAGGAUAGUGGAAUUCCCAGUGUAGUGGUGAAAUACGUAGAGAUUGGGAAGAACACCAGUGGCGAAGGCGGCUAUCUGGACGGUUUCUGACACUAAGACUCGAAAGCGUGGGGAGCAAACAGGAUUAGAUACCCUGGUAGUCCACGCCGUAAACGAUGGGUGCUAGACGUUGGCGAGCUUGCUCGUCAGUGUCGCAGCUAACGCGUUAAGCACCCCGCCUGGGGAGUACGGCCGCAAGGUUGAAACUCAAA
rnacentral:rRNA from 1 species